rnacentral:lncRNA from 10 species
GUCUCCAUUUUGCCCCAUAACAGUCUUGUGAGAUAGGGAUCAUUAUCCUUACUUCACAUGUGAGGAAACAGGUUCAGACACAGGGACUUGCCCAACAUUACAGAGCUGAUAAAGAGCGAAGGCAGGAUUUGAACCUUUCAAAGACUGUCUGGGGCUGGAGUGCCGCCCUGGCUCUCACCAUUUCCCUUGACCAGCGGUGCUCAGCUUCCACGAGUUCUGCAUCCGUGGCUGGUGCAUCGUGGGAAAGAAGCAAACGUGUCCCUACUGCAAAGAGAAGGUAGACCUCAAGAGGAUGUUCAGCAAUCCCUGGGAGAGGCCUCACGUCAUGUAUGGGCAACUGCUGGACUGGCUUCGAUACUUGGUAGCCUGGCAGCCUGUCAUCAUUGGUGUAGUCCAAGGCAUCAACUACAUCCUGGGCCUGGAAUAGUGAUGAAGAGCAUCAGUGGAAAACCCACCCCACACGCCAUGGACCUCAGGGCACUCUCCUCCCUGCCCACAAAGACCUCCUGGGUGGGAAAGACUCAAAGGGGUGCUUGGGCCACUCAGGACCCCUCUGGCUGUGUCGGACUGGGGAGGGAUAUGAUGGAGAGCCAGCCAGUGGGGCUGUCAGCAGUGGGGGGCUUUUUAAAAGAAA